rnacentral:tRNA from 1 species
GCCUGGCUGGCUCAGUCGGUAGAGCAUUUGACUCUUGAUCUCAGUAUCGUGAGUUCAAGCCCCAUGUUGGGUG